rnacentral:lncRNA from 1 species
ACUAAUCAAUUAAGGUAUUAGUUGAACAUAUGAGGUAGUAAGAAUCGAUUCAGCUCAGAGUGAUUGAUCGACGACUUUGGUCGGGAGGAACACAAUACCAUUUCAUUAUGUAAUUGUCAAAAGGCUCAAUUAAAGUUGUAGUUGACCCUAUAAAAACUCACCCUUGGUCCUAGACUAAUCAAUUAAGGUAUUAUUCUAACAUAUGAGGUAGUAAGAAUUGGU